GCGGCCGCUCCCGGCAGCGACAGCCCCGCCGGCAGCCCCGCGCCGCUCUGUGCUGCCCGGGGAGUGCGGGGGGCGAGCGGCCGGCCCGGCCCGCCUUGCUGUGGUGUUGAAGUCUUGUGCGGCCCCAUGGGAGUGCCCCCUCUGGGACACAGAAUUAUAGAAUGGUUUGGGUUGGAAGGGGACCGAAAGAACGUCUCAUCCCACCCUCGUGCCAUGGGCAGGGACACCCUCCACUAGAGCAGGUUCCUUGAAGCUACGUGCAGCCUGGCCUUGGACACUUCGGGGGAUGGGGCAGCCACAGCUUCUCUGGGCAACCUCUGGCAGGGCCUCGCCACUCUCACAGGGAGAAAUUUGUUUCUAAUAUCUAAUCUAACCCUGCUCUCUAGUGGCUAAACAAUCCCAACUCUGGCAGCCUUUUAUCACAGCAGAAGUGUUCAUCCCCCUGAUCACCCUGGUGCCUUCUCUGGAUACUCCCACAGGUCCGUGUUCUUCCUCUGCUGGGACUGCAGAGCUGGAGGCAGAAAGCAUCCAGCAGGCACUGAAACGUGUCAAAAUUCUCACCCGCAACUGAAGGACAAUAGAAGCAACCUAUAAAUCAUGGCACUCUUUGGAAAAAAUGAAUUAAGCUUGCCUUCAGAUUUUGUAUCCUGGUCUUGCCAAGUGGGGUAGAUUGUGUUUGCUUAUAGACAGUGGUUUGGUGUGGUUAAAUAAAUAUUUUAAAAGUAAAUAUCUAUGCUUAA